rnacentral:tRNA from 1 species
AGUCCCGAAUAUUUUGGAUUGCAAACCCAAAGCAGUAGGUUUACGCCUACCGGGGCUU